UACGUAGGUGGCGAGCGUUGUUCGGAAUUACUGGGCGUAAAGCGCACGUAGGCGGACCGGACAGUCAGAGGUGAAAUCCCAGGGCUCAACCUUGGAACUGCCUUUGAAACUAUCGGUCUGGAGUUCGAGAGAGGUGAGUGGAAUUCCGAGUGUAGAGGUGAAAUUCGUAGAUAUUCGGAGGAACACCAGUGGCGAAGGCGGCUCACUGGCUCGAUACUGACGCUGAGGUGCGAAAGCGUGGGGAGCAAACAGG
rnacentral:rRNA from 1 species